CCUGAGGCCAUGGAUGCUUAACAGCUUGUUUCUGUUCACCCGGAAGACUCCUUGAGGAUCUAAGAUGGUUUUACAAAGACCCGCACCUCUGGCAGCGUGAAUCCAGUGACAGCGACAGUAAAGACAACAAAGUGGGAACGAACCCUGGCUCUACACACAGAAAGAAUCUCCCUGGAGAAGUGGGUGCUGAGCCAGAGAACCCAACCAAACCACGAUGGUGAAAUAUCAGGCACUAACUGGAGAGAUACUUGGGGAUCUCAGAAUCUUACCCCGGUCCACUCAUAAACCUUUAAAACUGGUUUCCAUAUUUGUAUUCUGCACCCACCCACCCACAUCUCUUUCCCCGGUUACUAGUUGAAAAUUCUUAGAAAUCUUACAGUUUCAUCAAAACUAUUAUACAGUGUUCUCACUCAAC